CCUACGGGAGGCAGCAGUGGGGAAUAUUGCACAAUGGGCGAAAGCCUGAUGCAGCGACGCCGCGUGAGGGAUGACGGCCUUCGGGUUGUAAACCUCUUUCAGCAGGGAAGAAGCGAAAGUGACGGUACCUGCAGAAGAAGCGCCGGCUAACUACGUGCCAGCAGCCGCGGUAAUACGUAGGGCGCAAGCGUUGUCCGGAAUUAUUGGGCGUAAAGAGCUCGUAGGCGGCUUGUCACGUCGGGUGUGAAAGCCCGGGGCUUAACCCCGGGUCUGCAUUCGAUACGGGCUAGCUAGAGUGUGGUAGGGGAGAUCGGAAUUCCUGGUGUAGCGGUGAAAUGCGCAGAUAUCAGGAGGAACACCGGUGGCGAAGGCGGAUCUCUGGGCCAUUACUGACGCUGAGGAGCGAAAGCGUGGGGAGCGAACAGGAUUAGAUACCCUGGUAGUCCACGCCGUAAACGGUGGGAACUAGGUGUUGGCGACAUUCCACGUCGUCGGUGCCGCAGCUAACGCAUUAAGUUCCCCGCCUGGGGAGUACGGCCGCAAGGCUAAAACUCAAAGGAAUUGACGGCNGAGAGNGCGAGACGACACGAGGAGAG
rnacentral:rRNA from 1 species